rnacentral:rRNA from 1 species
GACGAACGCUGGCGGCGUGCCUAAUACAUGCGAGUUGAGCGCUGAAGGUUGGUACUUGUACCAACUGGAUGAGCAGCGAACGGGUGAGUAACGCGUGGGGAAUCUGCCUUUGAGCGGGGGACAACAUUUGGAAACGAAUGCUAAUACCGCAUAAAAACUUUAAACACAAGUUUUAAGUUUGAAAGAUGCAAUUGCAUCACUCAAAGAUGAUCCCGCGUUGUAUUAGCUAGUUGGUGAGGUAAAGGCUCACCAAGGCGAUGAUACAUAGCCGACUUGAGAGGGUGAUCGGCCACAUUGGGACUGAGACACGGCCCAAACUCCUACGGGAGGCAGCAGUAGGGAAUCUUCGGCAAUGGACGAAAGUCUGACCGAGCAACGCCGCGUGAGUGAAGAAGGUUUUCGGAUCGUAAAACUCUGUUGGUAGAGAAGAACGUUGGUGAGAGUGGAAAGCUCAUCAAGUGACGGUAACUACCCAGAAAGGGACGGCUAACUACGUG